GACGAACGCUGGCGGCGUGCUUAACACAUGCAAGUCGAACGGUAAGGCUCCAGCUUGCUGGGGUACACGAGUGGCGAACGGGUGAGUAACACGUGGGUGACCUUCCCUGCACUUCGGGAUAAGCCUGGGAAACUGGGUCUAAUACCGGAUAGGACCGCACCGAGGGGGUGGGGUGGAAAGUUUUGUCGGUGUGGGAUGGGCCCGCGGCCUAUCAGCUUGUUGGUGGGGUAAUGGCCUACCAAGGCGGCGACGGGUAGCCGGCCUGAGAGGGUGGACGGCCACAUUGGGCUUGAGGAAGGGCCCAGACGCAUACGGGAGGAAGGGGUGGGAAAUAUUGCCAAAUGGGCGGAAGCUGGAUGCAGGGACGCCGGGUGGGGGAUGACGGCAUUCGGGUUGUAAACUCAUUUCACCAUCGCCGAAGGGUUUCUGCGGGUAGAUGAAAAAGAAGCACCGGUUAACUACGG
rnacentral:rRNA from 1 species